UGAGACAAUUAUAGAAAAUACAUAGAGAGGUUGAGUUUAGUUUAAAAUAUUAUUAUACCUUGAAGGAUGGAAAUAUAAAAAAGAUCGAUAAAAUGUCUGCUUGAUCGCAAAACUUUUUCUAAAAUGUAUCUGACGUUUGACUUUUGUAUACCUUCAAAGGUAACUACGACGUUUAAAGUAAAAAUGUCUAAUAAACUAUCUUAUUUAUCGACCCUGUUUCAUCGAGUAAUUUGUCUUAACAUAUUUUCAUUGAAACUUUUCUUCUUUUCUUGACACAUACUUUUCUACUAAAAAUUUUACGCUUUGCGAUUAACGUAUACACUGAAAUUAUACUUCUCUAAAACUUCAUUAAAAAAUCAAUUCAAAACAAACGAAUAAUACACCUUACAAUUCGUCUAUACGCUUAAUUUAUACGCCUUGAAACUAAUUUGAAACAACGUUUCAUUCUUCGUGGCUUAAUAAAUCCCGCCAUUUAAUUUGUAUUUCGUACGCUUUUGCAAAUGCUGCCAACGGAAAAUCCGGGAAGCAUUUCAUCGAACACACGUCGAUAAAUAAAUUUCCAUCCUCUAGAAUGCUUCUACACCAAUUAAACUCAAAUUCUCCCUGCGAAUAUUAAUUAUAAAAGUAUUAAUCACUGUCUUAGUUCUUUUUUCGCCCAACUAAAACUAACAAACUGUUAACGAGCAUAUUUACAUUACAACAUUAUCAACCACUCUCUUAUCUAUUCUCAACAAUCAGCAUUGUAAUUAAACGAAAAUAUACUUUAAUCGAUUUAUCCAUCAUUAAUCAUUCGAUAAAAAAAGCGAAAAAUCCAGCUAAAUAAUUAUUAGCAAUUAUAUUUAUCGACUUGUUAUUUAAGCAAUUAAGUCAAUCAAUAUAUAAGAUAUCAAGUUGACAGGUCAUUAAUAUUAAGACAGUAGAAUUAUUUUUCAUCUUUACGUAAAGAGUAAAUAUACCUAACCGAUAUGAAAUUUCGCUGUAAUUUCUCUCUGUGCAUACAGGGUGUUGAAAAAAUAAAGUGCAAAUUUUUAUGAUUUCCUUAUUGUGAACUACUUAUUGAUAAUAUCAAGAAAUUAACACGGAAUCAAAUUCAAACGAAGCAAAAUUUUUUUUUUUUGGAUAGAGCGUAACUUUAUACUAUGUACACACAGAUUUAUUUUGUAAUUUGAUCUCUGCUUAAAACCUGUUGUAUCGCCCUUGGAUACAAGGUCACCCUUCCCUUCUUGGACCAAACAAAGUUUCUCAUACAUUCUUCUGAAAAGUACUAGUAUUACAACUGCAACUUACGUUUUUAAAUAUCAUCAAUUACAGUUUCAAUACUACCAGAAAAUAAUUCUAUGAUUGAAAUAUCUAUUUACUUAAGGAAGACAUUGUUUCAUUUGAAAUCCUAACACGCUGCAAACUUCAGAAAGGUCAAGUACAACUACUCGCGACAAUAAAUCAUUUUUUGAAUAAUCGUAAAUAAUAUAUAUGUAUGUAUAUUAAUAUUCGAUAAAAACAAGAAUUCUAAAUAAAAAUAUAAUAAUUUCUUUCAAUGCCCAUUUUUGUUCAGCAAUUUUUCUUACACAGGCCAAUUCCCAAAUUUUCGAUAUUCCCACGAUCAAUCGUAUCGUUAAUCGAGAUUCUACCAUUCAAACGCACGCUUGCUUGCUUCAAUUACAAUAUCACAAAAUACAUCGAAUUGUAGUGAUCUUAAUCCGUGGAAAAAAUUAUUUCGCGAUUAUGGUAGCAAUAAUGCUAUAUAAUAAUAUCGCGAUACGAAACGACUUUUCCGGAAACCUAUUGAUAGAUGGCGACGUCGUACUGCUGCAUAGACGCGAUACGAAGAUAAUGAAUCCUCGGCGUUUUUCGUUGUUUAUCGAUGCAUCUAUCGCACGCAUGCACCAAUGAUACAAUGGCGUGCCGUUCUUUAGAAAUAUCUUGCCCUUGUAAAUUUCGCGCUACAAAAGCCACCGUACUUUACAUUGGCGGCAAUAGAGCGGAGCAGCGAAGGGCAUGAAAGGUUGUUGCAGAGGACCCGGAGUCAUUGAAAAUUGUAGGCUGUUGUAGAUGAGAUCGUUGCUCCCCUUUGUCGCGGCCAACCUUUUUUCGCCCUGGUAAUACAGAUAUUGGCCAUUAUUUCGCGAACUAUUCAUUCUUGCGAGACUAAUCGUUGAUGCUUCGAGACGAGUCAACGGUAUUUUCUUGAAGAUCGUUUCUCAACUCGUUAAGGAUCAACCGUUGAAAUAGUUCGUCAAAAGUUACGUAAAUGCAAAUAAAAUAACUAAUUGCGAAAGUAACUUACAUACGGUUUCGUCAAGACAAAAAGUAUGUUACAUCAACAGACGCUUUUCAGAAGCUCAUUACACGAAUAAAAGAUGGAAAAAAUAUUGCCGUGAUUUUAUGAAAAAUAAAUUAUCGCGCUGCUAUAAAUACAUCAAUUUCUUGACAUUCUCGAAUAUUGGGGUCGUAUAAUUUCAUAUUUUACAAGUUCAAUGAGAAAAGAAAUCUUAAUGAGAUGCUAUAAUUUCUUUUCCUUUGUAUAGCGAUAAAAAAUAGAUAUUAUUCGAAAGACUCGUUUCUUAUUAAAAACAAUAUAAUAAAAGAAUUCCCCUCCUGUCUCUCUAUCUUGUUGAAAUGCUAAUUAGCGUUUUUACGAACGCUUGCGUAAGUGUUUCCAGACACCUGCCGUGUGAAAAGCAUAACAGUAAACAAAAUACUGUUUGGAACAACAUGCGUAACUUUCGCAACAUUCGAAAACUGACGAAAAUUACAUAAUUGCAUUAUCUGCUCUCUAUUUGCGCAAAUACUUCAUGCUCGACAGAAGAAAACGCGCGAGGGUACGCAUCAUGUGACGUACAUUAAACCGAGAUUUCCUACAGCGAGAGCUUCGCAUACGCGAAUCGAGCCUCCUACGCAACAGCUGUUUUUCUCCAAAUUCGCCAAAAUUAUCUAUCGAUCCUUACAAAACUAGCAUACAACUAAAUUAUUACGUUAACGUUAACAUUGCUUUCCCAGUGAAAUUUUCAAACGGUGUUUCAAACAUUAUCGAGGACGCGCGAUUUCUCUUUUAUAUUUUUCAGUGUCUCCCGCGUAGAUAAAGAAAAAUGUCGAAUUUUAAUUCGACUUGUUGCUGGAUAAACCUGUCGUCACGUUAGAAGGAUAAUUUGUGCUCUAGGAUGGAUUUUGCGAAGCUUCGUUAAUGGUAAAAUAUAUCAUCAACACAUUCGAUGUAGAACGAAAUAUUAUUUCGAAAUCGUCGCAAAAAUGCUUCGAUAAAAGAAAAAUUAUUCGUACGUGCGACUAUUCGAAUUCAUCAUAUCACGUAAUCCUAUGAGAAUUCUAAUCUAUAUACAGUGUAACAGAACAGCAAAAGUAAAAGUAACAUCUCACAUUUAUACCGAACUAAUAUUUAUCGAAAAAGAAGACAGACACCUUUGGACUUCAUAUUCGAAUAUUGGCUGUCCAGGAAUUUUUAGCACGUUUGAAAGAGUGAUUCGACGCAGGUACGUAUAUUCGCGUACGGUUCCUUUGUACCGAUCUAACACAAUGUAAAUAUUGAAAUUGCCUUAUCGCUGCUGGCGCUUCGAUUGUAAAAAUUUCUAGCUUAAACGGUGGCUCGGUUAACAAAGUGAAACGAUUCACAUGGAUAGAAGAAAAAUGGUAGUUUCGAUUCGACGAGAAAUCAUCGAACGAUUAGCUUUUCAGAGACGUUGCCCUCGAAAUGCGAAUUGAAUAAAUCGCCGUCACGCUCUAGGAAACCUUUUCGUACAAAGUACUCGAGGUACAGAAAGGUUUCGUCUCGGUUUCCCUCGUACAAUCCCCUUAACGCCGAGUGGAUCGAACUCUGGUGCAUGCUCGAGGUGCUCGAGAUCGCAUCUCUUCACGAAUGCUCUCACGUGAUACCACUAUAAUGUCAUACGUCGUAACGAUCGCGGCAUAGUAAUAGUCCAAGAACAAACCUGUCACGCUACACGUCUCUACCGGCACACAUACAUAUAUGCACUCCUUCCACCCGCUUACAUAUACAAAAACGUGUAGUAUACACAGAGAUGCGUUACGCGACCAAUCGAUCGAAUUAAUAUUCACGAUUGUUGAAGCAUGGAAUCGACGUCGAUCGGAAUCCCUCUUGGUAUGCCUGAUUAGCUUACUUGCUCUUUAGCCACGUUCCAAGUCGAAGGAGAUAUUAUCGACUCGAGGAUAUCGUUGACUACAAGUUGUUGCAUCCACGUGGUUUCGACGUUAGCCACAUUAAAUCGAAAAGCAUCGAAAGGCGAUGAUAUUUGAAACACUAUUUUUGAAAAUCUUGGCACUCAGUAUCGUUAUUCUUGUCAUCUUCUUGUAACAAAUGAAUGUAGGUAAAUACUCGUGGUAGUAGACAAUUUGCUUCCCGAGAAUCGAAUAUUAAUCAGUUGCUUAAAUUGAGAAAUUGAGAAAUUGUUUAAAAAGUGGAGUUGACCUGUUUGGUCUGUGAGAGGCUCGCUUAUUUGCGCAUGAAUGAAGAGGAUGAGGAUUAUCGUUGGUAGAGUGGAUGUUUGUGUAAACGUUCAUUUUUAUAGGAGAUCCACAACGAAGGACAAUUUGAAUAGAAAUGUAGAAUUUUGGAAUUGUUAGGUCAUUUUAUACGUUACAGUCUAAUAUUACACUUUUGCAACGAAACAACGAAAUACUUCCUCUUCCUUGGUAAUUAUUUCCUCAAGGCUGGUUGAGCAAGCUGUGUUGUAAUCUCCUCGAGCGGAUUUUCAUUGUAGAAGCGUAUCAAGCGCGUUUGUAGAGAUACACAAGACCCAAAGUCGGAGAACGUGCCCAUGUUUUUUUUUUUACUACCUUGAUAUUGUGAAAUUUUUUAAUAAAGGAAUUCGACUAACAA